GAAAUGGGGCGUAGCCAAGCGGUAAGGCAACGGGUUUUGGUCCCGCUAUUCGGAGGUUCGAAUCCUUCCGUC
rnacentral:tRNA from 1 species